GCCUGGCUGGCUCAGUUGGUAGAGCAUGAGACUUUUAAUCUCAGGGUUGUGAGUUCAAGCCCCACGUUGGGCA